UACGGAGGGUGCAAGCGUUAUCCGGAUUUACUGGGUUUAAAGGGUGCGUAGGUGGAUUUGUAAGUCAGUGGUGAAAUCUCCGGGCUUAACCCGGAAACUGCCAUUGAUACUAUAAGUCUUGAAUUAUCUGGAGGUAAGCGGAAUAUGUCAUGUAGCGGUGAAUGCUUAGAUAUGACAUAGAACACCAAUUGCGAAGGCAGCUUACUACGGAUAUAUUGACACUGAGGCACGAAAGCGUGGGGAGCAAACAGG
rnacentral:rRNA from 1 species